GAUGAACGCUGGCGGCGUGCCUAAUACAUGCAAGUCGAGCGAACAGACGAGGAGCUUGCUCCUCUGACGUUAGCGGCGGACGGGUGAGUAACACGUGGAUAACCUACCUAUAAGACUGGGAUAACUUCGGGAAACCGGAGCUAAUACCGGAUAAUAUAUUGAACCGCAUGGUUCAAUAGUGAAAGACGGUUUUGCUGUCUCUUAUAGAUGGAUCCGCGCCGCAUUAGCUAGUUGGUAAGGUAACGGCUUACCAAGGCGACGAUGCGUAGCCGACCUGAGAGGGUGAUCGGCCACACUGGAACUGAGACACGGUCCAGACUCCUACGGGAGGCAGCAGUAGGGAAUCUUCCGCAAUGGGCGAAAGCCUGACGGAGCAACGCCGCGUGAGUGAUGAAGGUCUUCGGAUCGUAAAGCUCUGUUAUUAGGGAAGAACAAAUGUGUAAGUAACUAUGCACGUCUUGACGGUACCUAAUCAGAAAGCCACGGCUAACUACGUG
rnacentral:rRNA from 1 species